GCGGCGCGCUGGAGGAGGGAGGGCGCGCGGGAACCCGGCCCGGCCGUACCCCGCCGGCCUGCCGACCCGGGUCCGGGGGCCCAGUUGGCGCCCGGACCAGCUCUCCGGUCUGCGUCCUGUAGAUGGGAAAACUGAGGCCUGAGAGGGCGCGAGGGCGGGGACGAGGCCGAGGACUCGGGUUCGAAUCUCGAGGACGCCAGUAGCCCGCUCUGAGGCCGCGUGGGGCUGGUGGAGGAGCCACCGGUCGGGCCCCCAAGACCGGCUGACGUGGGCCUCGCCUCGGGCGACUCCCGCCGGGCUAGUGGCUGGCCGUGUGGUGACCUUGGGCGAGUUACUUCGCACAGCCACCCAGGGGCCUCUUCUCCAACACGAUAGCACUGCACCCGGAGGGCCUUCAGACCUGAGCUGAAAUCUACACCACCGGCUCUCUGACUAUCAGGCUUUGGACUAUACUUUGGGCUUUCCUGGGUCUCUUACCUGGCAGACAGCAGAUUUUGGAACUUUUCAGCCUCCAUAAUCAUCCUUCCACCACGUGAUGACACAAGAAGGUCCUUGUACGAUGUUGGCACCUUGAUCUUGGACUUCCCAUCCUCCAGAACACUGCAUAAUAUUUCAUUGUAUGGAUAAACUACACAGUUCCCAGUGAUGAAGACCAAGAUUGUUCCCAAUCUGUUUGCUAUUAUAAACAGUGUUGCAACAAACAGGCUUUGUGUGUAUCAUUUCAUAUGAGUACAAGAGUUUCUGUAGACUUGACAAUAAAAAGAUAACCCAAUUGAAAAAACA
rnacentral:lncRNA from 1 species